UUCUACUGAUGACUUUCUAAAAUUGCCAUGUGGCUAACGGCCACAGGACACACAUAAUGAAGCCUGAGUAGCUGAGAGAU